GACGAACCGUGCGAACGUUAUUCGGAAUCACUGGGCUUAAAGCGCGUGUAGGCGGAUGGGGACGUCGGUUGCUGAAAUCCCCCGGCUCAACCGGGGAACGGGCACCGAAACGCCCCGUCUGGAGGGACGUAGGGGGACCUGGAACUUCCGGUGGAGCGGUGAAAUGUGUUGAUAUUGGAAGGAACGCCGGUGGCGAAAGCGACACACUGGACCUUGUCUGACGCUGAGGCACGAAAGCCAGGGAGCAAACGGGAUUAGAAACCCUGAGAUACGUC
rnacentral:rRNA from 1 species